AGCAUUUUAAGCUUUUCCAGUGAUUUAAGAUCGAUACCGGGGAAGGUUUUCCGGUUUAUCCCGGAGGGCUUGUAGCUCAGUUGGUUAGAGCGCGCGCUUGAUAAGCGUGAGGUCGGAGGUUCAAGUCCUCCCAGGCCCACCAGUUUAUGCUCGUUUUUUGCUUAUUCUUGAGCGUUAUGAAGCUUAAGCUUAUCAAAGCCUCUUUAAUCUUUGUUCAUCGUUUAAAGAUUUUAUUUUAUCCUUCAAAAAUUGUUUGUUAAAUUUAUCAAACAGUGCCUUUGUCAAAAAAGGAUUUUAAGUUCCCUUCAAGAGGAUAGACAAAUUUAAAGGAUAAAAAUGAUAAAAAUCAAUACAAGUCGAAAUAAUAUUGAUCGAAAAAAUAGUAUUGAUUAAAAGAGGACAAGUCACUCAAGUUGAUAAAUUUUUUUGAGGUUGAUUUGAGAGGAGCAUUCUUUAGGGGCCGUAGCUC
rnacentral:tRNA from 1 species